rnacentral:rRNA from 1 species
AUUGAACGCUGGCGGCAUGCUUUACACAUGCAAGUCGAACGGUAACAGGGUGCUUGCACCGCUGACGAGUGGCGAACGGGUGAGUAAUGCAUCGGAAUGUACCGUGUAAUGGGGGAUAGCUCGGCGAAAGCCGGAUUAAUACCGCAUACGCCCUGAGGGGGAAAGUGGGGGACCGAAAGGCCUCACGUUAUACGAGCAGCCGAUGUCUGAUUAGCUAGUUGGUGAGGUAAAGGCUCACCAAGGCGUCGAUCAGUAGCGGGUCUGAGAGGAUGAUCCGCCACACUGGGACUGAGACACGGUCCAGACUCCUACGGGAGGCAGCAGUGGGGAAUUUUGGACAAUGGGCGCAAGCCUGAUCCAGCCAUGCCGCGUGUCUGAAGAAGGCCUUCGGGUUGUAAAGGACUUUUGUCCGGGAGCAAAUCCUAGUGGUUAAUAACCGCUGGGUCUGAGAGUACCGGAAGAAUAAGCACCGGCUAACUACGUG